GGGUUGUGAGGUUAAGCGACUAAGCGUACACGGUGGAUGCCCUGGCAGUCAGAGGCGAUGAAGGACGUGCUAAUCUGCGAUAAGCGUCGGUAAGGUGAUAUGAACCGUUAUAACCGGCGAUUUCCGAAUGGGGAAACCCAGUGUGUUUCGACACACUAUCAUUAACUGAAUCCAUAGGUUAAUGAGGCGAACCGGGGGAACUGAAACAUCUAAGUACCCCGAGGAAAAGAAAUCAACCGAGAUUCCCCCAGUAGCGGCGAGCGAACGGGGAGCAGCCCAGAGCCUGAAUCAGUGUGUGUGUUAGUGGAAGCGUCUGGAAAGGCGCGCGAUACAGGGUGACAGCCCCGUACACAAAAAUGCACAUGCUGUGAGCUCGAUGAGUAGGGCGGGACACGUGGUAUCCUGUCUGAAUAUGGGGGGACCAUCCUCCAAGGCUAAAUACUCCUGACUGACCGAUAGUGAACCAGUACCGUGAGGGAAAGGCGAAAAGAACCCCGGCGAGGGGAGUGAAAAAGAACCUGAAACCGUGUACGUACAAGCAGUGGGAGCCUCUUUUAUGGGGUGACUGCGUACCUUUUGUAUAAUGGGUCAGCGACUUAUAUUCUGUAGCAAGGUUAACCGAAUAGGGGAGCCGAAGGGAAACCGAGUCUUAACUGGGCGUUAAGUUGCAGGGUAUAGACCCGAAACCCGGUGAUCUAGCCAUGGGCAGGUUGAAGGUUGGGUAACACUAACUGGAGGACCGAACCGACUAAUGUUGAAAAAUUAGCGGAUGACUUGUGGCUGGGGGUGAAAGGCCAAUCAAACCGGGAGAUAGCUGGUUCUCCCCGAAAGCUAUUUAGGUAGCGCCUCGUGAAUUCAUCUCCGGGGGUAGAGCACUGUUUCGGCAAGGGGGUCAUCCCGACUUACCAACCCGAUGCAAACUGCGAAUACCGGAGAAUGUUAUCACGGGAGACACACGGCGGGUGCUAACGUCCGUCGUGAAGAGGGAAACAACCCAGACCGCCAGCUAAGGUCCCAAAGUCAUGGUUAAGUGGGAAACGAUGUGGGAAGGCCCAGACAGCCAGGAUGUUGGCUUAGAAGCAGCCAUCAUUUAAAGAAAGCGUAAUAGCUCACUGGUCGAGUCGGCCUGCGCGGAAGAUGUAACGGGGCUAAACCAUGCAC
rnacentral:rRNA from 1 species